rnacentral:rRNA from 1 species
UACGUAGGGGGCAAGCGUUGUCCGGAAUCAUUGGGCGUAAAGAGCGUGUAGGCGGCCCGGUAAGUCCGUUGUGAAAGUCGAGGGCUCAACCCUCGAAUGCCGGCGGAUACUGCCGGGCUAGAAUUCGGAAGAGGCGAGUGGAAUUCCUGGUGUAGCGGUGAAAUGCGCAGAUAUCAGGAGGAACACCAAUGGCGAAGGCAGCUCGCUGGGACGGUAUUGACGCUGAGACGCGAAAGCGUGGGGAGCAAACAGG